AGUCAGUCUGCCCUUUGAAGCUUUGAAGUCAGGCAUUGACUUCUCUCUAGCUAUCAAAGUCCUAGAUGG
rnacentral:miRNA from 10 species